AAACCACCUUUGUGACCAUGUAUCUCCUCUGCCAGUUCCACAAGGGGCAGGAACGAGCCUGUUUUGGUUUCUGCUUCAUCCCCAGUACCUUGCACAGAAACUGGGACCUGAAUCAAUGGAAAACGUAUCCCGAGGUGAGGAUUUAAAAAAAGAAGAAAGAAAACAGAAUACUACUGAAACUCCAGAAGUCCCCAUAUGUUCCUUACCAAUCACAGUGAACUUUUAUAGGAAUUUUUUUUUUUUUUGCUUUUCUUUAUAGUUUUACUGCCUGUGUAUGCACCUCUAAAUAAAGUAGUUUUCCUCGUGUUUAAGCUUUACAUGAAAA